UCCCUGGAAGUCCAGUGGUUAAGACUCUGCACUUCUGAUGCAGGGGCACAGGUUUAAUCUCUGGUUGGGGAA
rfam:Ovis aries breed Texel chromosome 5, whole genome shotgun sequence.